rnacentral:rRNA from 1 species
AUUGAACGCUGGCGGCAGGCGUAACACAUGCAAGUCGUACGAGUGGAGGACGGGUGAGUAAUGUCUGGGAAACUGCCCGAUGGAGGGGGAUAACUACUGGACACGGUAGCUAAUAACGAAUACAAUCGGAUGUGCCCAGAUGUGAUUAGCUAGUAGGUGGGGUAACGGCUCACCUAGGCGACGAUCCCUAGCUGGUCUGAGAGGAUGACCAGCAAUACUGGAACUGAGACACGGUCCAGACUCAUACGGGAGGCAGCAGUGGGGAAUAUUGCACAAUGGGCGCAAGCCUGAUGCAGCCAUGCCGCGUGUAUGAAGAAGGCCUUCGGGUUGUAAAGUACUUUCAGCGAGGAGGCGUUACUCGCAGAAGAAGCACCGGCUAACUCCGUGCCAGCCGCCGCGGUAAUAC